CCUGAUUCGAAUCACCCGGGAAGAGGGUGUCCUCACACUGUGGCGGGGCUGCAUCCCUACCAUGGCUCGGGCCGUCGUCGUCAAUGCUGCCCAGCUUGCCUCCUACUCCCAAUCCAAGCAGUUCUUACUGGACUCAGGUGAGAUCCAGAGCUGGGCCCUUAGCUCCCAGCCUGGCCUGAGCCACCUCUGAGCUGACUGCCACCCCUGCCUCACCUCCCCCAGGCUACUUCUCUGACAACAUCUUGUGCCACUUCUGCGCCAGCAUGAUCAGCGGUCUUGUCACCACUGCUGCCUCCAUGCCUGUGGACAUUGCCAAGACCCG
rnacentral:sRNA from 1 species